CUCAAUUCCUUUUGUCCUGAUAUUUCCUUGUGACUUAAGGUCACAGGGAUGCUGUGGGUCAGGAGCUUCACCACAAAGUGGGAUUCUUUGAAGGGCAAGGACUGCCCACAGAAGGAUGCCCACCAUCCCAAUAGACGAAAGGAAGUCAAAAGACGCCUGAAAUGAAUCAUCACUUACCAUGGGCGAAUUGUAUGGUAUGUGCAUUAUAUCUCAAUCAAAAAAAAAAAGAGAGAGAGAGAGACAGUCUGAAGUUUCCAGGUCUCCAGGACCCUUGGAGACUCUUUCAUGGCAUCCUGAAAACCCCAGCCUGAGCAUCAGAGCCAUUUCCUUCUAUUUACAAAAGCACCAGUGGUCACCUUCUUCAAGGGCCGCUGGAAAUGGUGUGGAGAGUCUGGAGCAAACUGCUAAAAACCGUGCAGUCAAAAUUCACCUGCGGAGCAGACCUGCUGACUCUGGCACUUCUGGGGGAUUGCAUAUCCUACAGAUGUCCCUGGUAGGUGGCCACGUGGAGGCCACACUGGAGCUGCCAUAACCCGUCUACAGAUGAACACACAGACCUGGGAUUUGGGCACCAGCUGGAACGCUAGAGCUGCCAGGUGGAAGGUCUCAUUUCUGGUCCCAUUUCUCAGGUGCCAACGCUGAUGACCAAACUCUCCAUCACCAACCUCUGCCCCCACCGGGGAAUAAACGCCCACUGGAGACAGAGGGCGCAGCUCUGGGGUCAGGAUAUUGGGGCCCACGGUCUCGCCCACGAUUUUGUCUUCACAUCCUGAAAACCCUCUCUCAGGGAGCUGGGAAAAUCCAAUCGCCCCCACAGCUCAGGGGGCUCUGACUGGAACCAGCAGUAGCACCACCAGACCACCAGACCCAUGGCCCGCAGCUUGGGGUCAUCUGCAUCCGGUGCUGGGCUCCUCAUGGCUCCAGUUAAAGGAAGGCAUUAGUGUGCCUUAAUCCAUUUGAAUGACUUCAAAUCCAGCUGGCCGCUGCCUUGGCACCGCAGCCCAGCUUUCCGCCCCACCACCACCUCCUUUGCGGUCAGCCCGCGGGACUCACAGCAUCGCGGUUGCCCAGACAACACCUCAACCCACGGCCAGAGCUGCAUCGUGAUUGGUCCAAGCUCAAGAGCUUGCUAAUCUCCCUAGCAGCGAUUGAUUAGAAGUGGACACGUGACACAGCCUGGAUCGGUUUCCCGCCUCCUAGUGGAGAGACGGCCUUCCUCCGGAGACUGUCUGGAUGUGACAGCCCGAGGGAUGCCCAGAGCCCCAGUGGGCCAACCCUGGUACCACCCUCCCUUCAAACGACUGGUGUGAAAUAACAUAUAGCCCCAUCGACUUCGCCAGUUUCUGUCGGGCGUUUCUGUUCCCUCUGCUGGAAGCAUCCGCGCUGCUCUUGAUUCCACGAAUGCUGAGAACACCUCCUGGACCUGUGCGGAGCCAAGUCCUGCUUUGGUUGUGCCUCCUCUCACAUGGGGCGUUUCCCUUCCUUCCUCACGUGCGUGAUCUUCGCUUGACCUUCUCUAGCAACCGGACCGGCUCUUUAGUGAGAAUUACGUCUGUUUACUCUCCCACCCAAGUCCCCCCACCACCUGCGGAGAGCCAGAGCAGUGGAGUCACUGCCCUUCCCUGAGAUCCUGCCCUGUGUCAGACUGUGGGCCGGGGCUUACACAUGCUAAGUCUUAUCCUCCCCUCUGGGGUGUUAUUGUUUGGAUUUACAUAUAUGGGGACUGAAGCUCAGAGAGGUUAAGUGGCUAGUCCACAGUCACAAAGCUGGAAGUUGACAGAAACAGAAGUUGAGCCCUUCAUAGACAGUCCUGUUGCACAGGAAGUGUUCCACCGGCUACCUUAGGCCUCUGCUGUCACCCCUUCUCUCUCCUCUCCCUCCUGGCCCCUGCUCUUCAUCACACCCCCACCCUGACCUCGCUACAUGGCAGAGGAGUGGGAGCACAAGUGGCCUCCACCUCGUGGAAGGGGAAAGGAGGGAGUAUCAGUUGUCAUUGCCACACUGUCUGUGUCACACACCACCGAGACCCUCAGUGACAUGUGAUGAUGAGCUAUGUGUCCCUGCUCUGCUGGCUUUGGGCUUACCAACAUGACUUGUUUCAGCCAGUAGGCACCUGGGGAGAGUGACGCCACGAUGGUUCUGAGGAGAACUUGUCUGUUCCCACUUGAUUUGUUGCACUUUCACCAUCACUAUGAGAAAAAGCUUCUCUGGAGCAGCUGCUGCCCCUUGAGCCUGGGCCAGACAUGCACACACCUCUCCAGGAGGCCAAGACCUGACAGACUGAGGUGAUAACAAGGAAAAAGAAAAGCUGUCGAACCACACCACUCAUCUGUCAGUAGCCAGGCUGUGGCAGCGGUCAUCCUUCUGGGACCUCCUAGGCUCUCUGGGGGCAGGACUCUGGCUGUAUGGUGAUAGAAGAUCGCUAUGAUGAAGGUCAACCUUGUGGAUGAUACUUUUUUGCUGGGCCAAUUACUUUGCAUAAAGCCGGAAAAUGAUUCAUCUGUGUAGUCCAGCUUAGCAGGUCCUCAGCAGAGAACACCUUUAGAAAGCGACGGAGAGGGUGAAAUCGAUUUUCCUAUGAGGGUAUACAUUUCUGCGUCCUCACCAUAUGCAGUUGGAUGAGUUAUAAGCACACAUGCCCAUUACUUCUAUUCAGUUUGACACACUUAGAAUAAAUGGCCAGGCUUUAGAGCUGCUUCUGUUUUAUCUUUGUAGUUCUGGGCCCAAGAAGGCAAACUCUUUCAGUUUUAGUUCCUGUGUCUUCAAGGCUGUACCCUUGAGUUUUGGCAGAAAGUCCUUAAGGAUUCCGGGCUGCUGUGCCCCUGGGGCUUCGAACUUCCAGAACUUUCUCCCAUUCCAUUCUCUUUUUUUCUGGGCUCACGGAUCCUCAUCUCCUUUGAAAUCCCUGUGGAUAAGAUGGUGAAACACAGGCUGGAAGCCACUGAGAUCUGAGAGCUGAGCAACUAGUUGAACAACUGUGCCUAAAGGUGUCCCAGAAGCAGAUGGGUGUUAACUGAAUGGGGUCUGCAAGGGAGGCCCUGGCUGCCCUUGGCACUUCCUUGUUCUAUAUUUGUGUCUGCAACAGCUGAAUUCGGACAUGACCUGGGUAUAGAAAACAUAUUAGCCUAAUAGUUAAGAAUAUGGGCUGGCACCAAACCGCUGGGUUGAAGUCCGGCACUGCCACACACUAGCUAGUUGUCCUGGAGCAAGUUAUUUAACUUCCCUAUGCCUCAGUUUACUCAUCUAUAUAAUGGGAAUCCUAAUAGUUUCCACUUUAGAAUUGUUGCGAGGAUUGAGAGUUAAGCACCUAGAAUUUACUGUUCCUGUGUUGGUCGUUGUUACAACAGUUGUUGGGUGUAGUUGUAAUAACAGGGAGUUGCAACACUAGCAGGUGGGAGGGGGAGUAAAUGCACCAGCUGACAAAAUGGGAUCCAGAAUAUCUCACUAAGUCACGGUGAUGGGCAAAUUUAACAAUAAAGCUGACUGCUGUGCCCCCAACAGCACAGGAUGAGAAAAACAUGGUUUUGCAGUAGUACAGGAGAAAAUGAUGUGAGGGAUCGUUCCAUAGUAAAUUUAAUAGGAAUCAACUCAAGUGGUGGGUUACCAUACAAAAAAAACUUACAUAAUCUCCCCCCGUGUCCCUUAGAUGUGGGUGAUUGGAAGGGGGAGGGCACCGGCCUUAGCCUGGACAGGCAGACCACACCUGGACAAAUUUGGGGUGCCCACUGUGAAGGGAGUCUAGACAGGCAGGAAUGCGUGCAGAGGAGAGUGAGCUGAUCCUGCAGGGGCUGGAAGGCAUGUGACUCAGUAAGCGAUGCCACCUGUGGUAACAAACAAGUCCCUAACCACAGAGACGGAACACAGUCGUUAAUUACUUGCUCACCUAACCGAUGUUCUGACGUAGGGGUGAGCCAUCCUCCAGCAGUGGGCCAGGGCACCUCCCUUUGUGCUGAAAGAGUGUGGAGACUAUAAGUGGAAGGCGUGUAUGGGUCAGGUCUGGAAAUGGCCACACGCAUUCACUCACAUUCUAGAGCCCCUGUGGUCACACCUGCAGGAGAUGCUAGGUAGUGCAGUCUGGCCAUGAGGCCAGCAGAAGAGACGCACUUGGCGAUCAGCCACUGGCAUCUGCCACUCUACGAAUUGUGAAGAAGGUCCAAGAAGCAGGACGCUGAGCCCGAGAAGAGUGGGAGGGCUUAAGAUGUGUCUCCAAACAUUGGAAAGGUCUCUUUGUAAAAGAGAGGAUCAUCUUUGUUGGUGUCACUUCAGAGGGCAGAAGCAGAACCUGUGGAUGGAGAGAUCUAGGGAGGCUGGUGGGGUGAACGACCAUCCUAGUUUGCCUGGACUGUCUGGUUUUAGCAAUGAAAGCCUACCUCCUGGGAAACCCAUCCGAUGACAUCAGAUGACGUUGGUCAUCCCAGCGUGGCCAACUUUGGGUUGACACAGGUGUGUCUAUCCUAGGAGCUAUCCCGGGCAACACUCCUUCCCCCGUCCCCCCACUCAUUUAGAUAUGAGUGACAGUGUUGUUGGCCGUCAGUUCAAUGUUAAUGAGCCAACAAUAGAUGUUAAAUAAGGUGUCUUUAAAGAGAAGUACAUUGAUUGACUGAUGAAAAUGUUGCAGCCAGAGGUUUGCAGGAACCUAACCCAGUGUUUCCCCUAGGAGCGAUGGUGCAGUAUUCGCUAAUUCCAUUUCAUGGUGACUUUAUAGAACAUAGCUACUGAAGAUAACAAGAAUUGACUUUAUAUCCAUACAAUGGAAUAUUUUCGGCCAUAAAAAGAAAAGAAGUCCUGAUGCAUGCCACAACAUGGAUGAACCUUGGAAACAUUUUGCUGAGUGAAGUCAGUCACAAAAGACCAUGUUUUGUGAUUCAAUUUUAUGAAAUGUUCACAAUAGGGAAAUCUCUAGAGACAGAAAGAUUAGUGGUUGCUUGGGGCUGGCCGAUGGAGGGGAGAGGGAGAGUUAGAGGGGAACAAUAGCCCCGGGGUACAGGGUUUCUUUUUGGGUGAUAAAAAUUGUCUGAAAUUGACUUUGUGAUGGUUGCACAUAUCUAUGGCUAUACAAAAACACUGAAUUGUAUACUUUAAAUGGGUGAAUUGUAUGGUAUGUGAAUUAUAUCUCAAUAAAGC
rnacentral:lncRNA from 1 species